UCAUCUAUGCCAAUCAGUUUAGCUUUGUAUUUUACACCAUCACCUUUGAAUCUAGCCAAGAGAGAUUCAUCUGUUUUUUCUGGCCCUGGAGACAGAGAAAAGGUUUAGUGGAAACUGCUUGCUUUCUUCUCUGCAUGCUCAACAUUGCUCAAGUAUGUACCUAGCUGUAGCGUUCCAAGCAGUCUGGAAGAUAAGAACACUGUCAUAACUAGAAGACAGAUGGUUUGCAAAAUGGAUUCAGGAUUUUCCUAAU